AAACCGGAGGAAGGUGGGGAUGACGUCAAGUCAUCAUGGCCCUUACGGCCUGGGCUACACACGUGCUACAAUGGUCGGUACAAAGGGUUGCCAAGCCGCGAGGUGGAGCUAAUACCCAUAAAACCGAUCGUAGUCCGGAUCGCAGUCUGCAACUCGACUGCGUGAAGUCGGAAUCGCUAGUAAUCGUGAAUCAGAAUGUCACGGUGAAUACGUUCCCGGGCCUU
rnacentral:rRNA from 1 species